CCAGCUCAAUUAAGACGGAGUGACUUUGUUCCAGACGAGAGGCGGUGAACUCUUCUUCUUUCCGGAGGUAAGGAGGCGAAAGAUUAGAUAGAGAGGAGGCGAUCCUUUCGAUGAGAGUGGCCAAAGUCCUCUGCUAUUGUCAGUCGGAGCAGUAGGUGAGAGAGCGAAUUACGACGUACAAAAAUCGAUUGUCAUUUAACAUGGAAUGACCUGAAAGUUUGAACGGCAUUAUCUAAUGAAUGAAAAUGGACGAAAUUACGAAGAUGAAGGCUUUUGAGUGUCUGGCUGUUUUUCGCUUUUGAGAGGUGACUGGCCAACCACCAACUACGAAUCGCAUUUUGCGUUAUAGAGUAUGAGAUGGAUCUAGAAAAAAAAAAAUUGAAUCCUAUGAGAGAAAGUAUGAUGACUCCAAGAAUUGAAUCAACAUGGUCUAUAACUUAAAGGCACCAAACGGAAAUUAUCAAUUGGAAAAGAAAUGACGCCUACGCUGGAGGAGUAUGACUAAUGAAUCCAACCUGAAGACAAGUUAAAAUGCAUUGUUACCACAGAUGGAAACUUCAUUCUUCAAACAUUAUUUUAAGUAUCUGUAAUUUCGUUGCUGUAAAAUUUU